UAAUACGGAGGGUCCGAGCGUUGUUCGGAAUUAUUGGGCGUAAAGCGCACGUAGGCGGCCGGGUAAGUCUCACUGUGAAAGCCCGGGGCUCAACCCCGGGAGGCCAGGGGAUACUGCUCGGCUGGAGACAGGCAGAGGCUGGUGGAAUUCCGGGUGUAGCGGUGGAAUGCGUAGAGAUCCGGAGGAACAUCUGAGGCGAAGGCGGCCAGCUGGGCCUGAUCUGACGCUGAGGUGCGAAAGCGUGGGGAGCGAACAGGAUUAGAUACCCUGGUAGUCCACGCCGUAAACGAUGGGCACUAGAUGCCGGUGGGAACGACCCCUUCGGUGUCGCAGCUAACGCAUUAAGUGCCCCGCCUGGGGAGUACGGCCGCAAGGCUG
rnacentral:rRNA from 1 species